UCUAGAGAUAGAGCUUUACUUCGGUACAUCGGUGACAGGUGGUGCAUGGUUGUCGUCAGCUCGUGUCGUGAGAUGUUGGGUUAAGUCCCGCAACGAGCGCAACCCUUAUUGUUAGUUGCCAUCAUUCAGUUGGGCACUCUAGCGAGACUGCCGGUAAUAAACCGGAGGAAGGUGGGGAUGACGUCAAAUCAUCAUGCCCCUUAUGACCUGGGCUACACACGUGCUACAAUGGCUGGUACAACGAGUCGCAAGCCGGUGACGGCAAGCUAAUCUCUGAAAGCCAGUCUCAGUUCGGAUUGUAGGCUGCAACUCGCCUACAUGAAGUCGGAAUCGCUAGUAAUCGCGGAUCAGCACGCCGCGGUGAAUACGUUCCCGGGCCUUGUACACACCGCCCGUCACACC
rnacentral:rRNA from 1 species